ensembl:lncRNA
GUGUACCUCUCAUUUUUGCGGAAUAUUAUACAAUAUGCCUCUAAAUCUAUUUUUAUUGGUGUGUAGAGUGAAUUCCUGUUUCAUACAUUCCAGUGUAACUGGUUAAAUACAAGCGAAAAACACUGCUACCGCGAUGAUAACAACUCAAAGCUUAUCAAAACAUCUGUGAGUCAAACGGAAGAAGCCAAUUUAAAAAAAAAAAAAACAAGCCAAAAACUCACAUCCUUGAGAAAGAAAACCAUCAUGAAAAUUCAUGAGGUAGCAACGAUUCGAAAUUGUCACCCAAUGUUGAAGCCCUCUGCUUCUCUUAAUGUCUGCUUCACUGUCAUCGUGACCUUUCUGCUGACCUUUCACUCAAAGCCACAAAAAUCUCAUCCGCCGACCUCUGUCACUCAAAAACAUCAACAAAUCUUAUAUGUGGCGUGAAUAGAGCAGGUUCCAAAUAUUAAUUCACACCACACUGAACAAAUUUACACCGAGGUGACUGUGCAGAGACUGCAAGAUCCCUCGUGGAUGUCAGCUGGGCUCUUCAAAAUAUGCUGUAAGUGGUUGUUGGCAUACGUUAUUUUAAAUGGAACGUUCAUAUAUUCUGCAUGAGGAUUUAAAUGAUAAGUUUAUUUGAUACAUUUUUUAUAAAUGAUUACAUUUAAUAUAACACAGGUAUAUCAAAUUAUUCCUGUUUAUUUAUAUUUUCUCAUAUUCAUUAAAUUAUUCUAUAUUUUCAGUGUCUCUCAGUGUCUGUGUUGUAAGUCUGAUUUCCAUCUCGUUACUUAAAUGCGAAUAAAACAGUCAAUUUUAGAUUGCUUUGAAAAUAUUAUAGUUUUUUUUAUUUAGUUAUAAAAAAAUGUUUUAAAAAACUGAAACAAACCAAACUGCACCAUAAAUGAGUCCCACGUGACCCUGUUAUUAACUCAAACGUUAAAUGCCCUGCAGUCCCUCUCCGUUACUGCAUUGCUCCCACGUGCUUGUCUGCAAAGCGCCAAAGCUUUUGGAAAAAAGAGUCGUGAUUGAACGUCUCCCGCUGAGCAGCAGCGAGCUGCGCAGCUCUUCCUUUUUAUUACUGCGGACUGCAGACAACUCCAAGCAUUACUCAGCAAAAAAACACACACGGCGCACAUGGAUGCGCACCGAUGCGCCCUGAAGUGGCGCAAUGACGUCAGGUAUGUCACAGGGAACACCAGGUAAGACAUGAGGGGGGGUAAGUUAGCGCGGUUAAAUGAUCAUGUACAAGCACACCCAGGGCCCCCGCUCGACCCCCCGGCCCCCCGACUUGCCCCAUCAUCGCCUGUACCUUGCUGUCAUGGACGCUGCUUUCCUCCUGGAGCGCAUCCGCCUCCGCACGCAGCUCCGGACCCGAGGCUGAAGCUGAAGCAUCCUCCUGGUCCUUCCCGUCCCGCGGCACCGAACUCUCCGCUCCCAUGGCUGACGAUGACGAAGAGGAACUUCAGGCCCAGCAACAACAAAAACAACAACAAAAACAACAACAGCCCUCCAAGAUGCGGCGCGACUGCGUUAAGCUGCGAGGCGGUAUCCGCCGCGUCCAACCGACAGGCUCUACAGUGCAGCUGCGCCCCGAGGGUGGCCGGGAUGUGGAGUGAUGUGAACAGUGAGGACCAGCUC